rnacentral:lncRNA from 1 species
GUGGGAUUGGGGACGAAGUCCUCUCUGCCCAUGAAACGGCAACCAUCUCCGGGCCUUGGGCGUCACCCAUGGCUCUCAGGACGGUGUGGUCAGGAGAGGACGAGACCUAGCAACGACGAAAAAACACCUGUAAAAAUAAAAAAGGGGAGGCCCUACUUUGGGUAUUUGAAGACUCGAUGGGCUCAGAGUUGCCAAUGAGCCGGGCAAAGAAACGAACACACGCUGUGUUUCAAGCGUGAGGGUCUCAGUGCCUCAGUGCACAAGAAACUUAUCUAAUUUUGAAGUCCCGACUAUCCAAGAGGUAGUCGGUAAACAGCCGCUUCUAUGUCUAGACAGACCUAGACACUGCUGUAAGCCUUGGUCGAACUGGAAACUUCGGAAUCUUCGGAAAUCUUCUUCCGGGGACCACGGGACCUAGCUAAGAUGAAAAAGCGCUGAAAACACCAGAUACUUUGAUCUUAGCCAAAAGGCCGAGAAGCGAUGCCAAAAAUUGGCGUCCGAGGGGGUCCUGUAGCCAA